rnacentral:rRNA from 1 species
GAUGAACGCUGGCGGCGUGCCUAAUACAUGCAAGUCGAGCGAAGCGGGGACGGGUGAGUAAGACGUGGAUAACCUCCUAUAAGACGGGGGGAACUACGGGAAAACGUAGCUAAACCGGCGCCUUAUAGAUGGGUCCGCGGUGCAUUAGUUAGUUGGUAAGGUAACGGCUUACCAAGGCAACGAUGCAUAGCCGAGCUGAGAGGGUGAUCGGCCACACGGGAACUGAGACACGGUCCAGACUCCUACGGGAGGCAGCAGUAGGGAAUCUUGCGCAAUGGGCGAAAGCCUGACGGAGCAACGCCGCGUGAGUGAUGAAGGUCUUCGGAUCGUAAAACUCUGUUAUCAGGGAGGCGGUACCUAAACAGAAAGCCACGGCUAACUACGUGCCAGCCGCCGCGGUAAUUC